rnacentral:rRNA from 1 species
GAUGAACGCUGGCGGCGUGCCUAAUACAUGCAAGUCGAGCGAACGGACGAGAAGCUUGCUUCUCUGAUGUUAGCGGCGGACGGGUGAGUAACACGUGGAUAACCUACCUAUAAGACUGGGAUAACUUCGGGAAACCGGAGCUAAUACCGGAUAAUAUUUUGAACCGCAUGGUUCAAAAGUGAAAGACGGUCUUGCUGUCACUUAUAGAUGGAUCCGCGCUGCAUUAGCUAGUUGGUAAGGUAACGGCUUACCAAGGCAACGAUGCAUAGCCGACCUGAGAGGGUGAUCGGCCACACUGGAACUGAGACACGGUCCAGACUCCUACGGGAGGCAGCAGUAGGGAAUCUUCCGCAGUGGGCGAAAGCCUGGCGGAGCAACGCCGCGUGAGUGAUGAAGGUCUUCGGAUCGUAAAACUCUGUUAUUAGGGAAGAACAUAUGUGUAAGUAACUGUGCACAUCUUGACGGUACCUAAUCAGAAAGCCACGGCUAACUACGUG